rnacentral:rRNA from 1 species
AUUGAACGCUGGCGGCAGGCCUAACACAUGCAAGUCGAGCGAGCGGCGGACGGGUGAGUAAUGUAUGGGGACUGCCCGAUAGAGGGGGAUAACUACUGGAAACGGUGGCUAAUACCGCAUACUCUCGGAUAACCCAUAUUGGAUUAGCUAGUAGGUAAGGUAAUGGCGUACCUAGGCGACGAUCCCUAGCUGGUCUGAGAGGAUGAUACGCCACACUGGGACUGGUACACGGCCCGGACCCCAAGGGAGGCAGCAGUGGGGAAGAUUGGCCAAUGGGGCCAAGCCUUAUGCAGCCAUGGCGCGGGUAUGAAGAAAGCCCUAGGGUUUUAAAGUACUUUCAGUCGGGAGGCGUUAACGACAGAAGAAGCACCGGCUAACUCCGUGCCAGCAGCCGCGGUAAUUC